rnacentral:misc_RNA from 1 species
AAGCCGUAACAAGGUCUCCGAAGGUGAACCUGCGGAGGGAUCAUUACAGAGGCUAUGCCCUAACGGGGUAGAUCUCCCCACCCUAUGUUAUCAUUACCAUGUUGCUUUGGCGGGCCGUCAGGCUCACGCUCGGCUUACCGGCUCUGGCUGGUAAGCGCCCGCCAGAGGACCUCAAAACCCUGAAUAUUCGUGUCGUCUGAGUACCAUAUAAUAGUUUAAAAAC